GUCCAAUCUGGUCAGGUCAGAGACAAAAUUUCAGAGGGCUUCCUGGACCCGGCAGCCAACAGCCCAGAAGCAAGGCCCACCUAGCCUCGGGAGCCUUUGUCCUGGGGCAGAUGGUCAGCGCGGGCACGACAGGAGGGGCCCUCUGGACCACUCCCCGAGGACCCAGGACUCUCCUAGAGACAGGGCCUUGGAUCCUGGGACAGAGGGAAGCAGAGGCCUUGCGAGUUGGCGGUAGCGGCGUCCGUGACCUCCACCCCCUGAGCUGCGGGACCCGGUGACUCCCAGGAAGAGCACGAGCCUCUGCCGGCCGCUCCAGCAGCCACUCCCUUCCCGCCUCCCGCUAGCUGCCGCGGGCGGCAGGGGACUGAGGGUCAAACCCGAACUCCAGCGGUUCCCCUCAGAUAGUGGGACCAACCCGGAGCUCCAGUGCGGCAGGACCCGGCCCGGGCUGCCCCAGCUGCGCCUCGCUUCCGGCUACAAGUUUGCCCCGUGCCCGCCAAAUUGGUGAGUCUGGAAGCUUCUCUUGGGCUCCAGGAAGAGGGUCCCUGCUUCUGCUUCGGCUGUUCCCCACACGGCCAAGUCGGGGGCGUCACCCCCAGUCUGUAGGUGUCGCUGGAUCUUGCGCCCCCUGCAACACCUGUUUCCCAGAGCGUCUGGCGAGGACUCUGCGUUAGCGAAGCGGCGCGCACACGAACACACACGCCCUGACCACACACACACACGGGCCAGGCGAAUACACACGCCCUGACCACACACACACACACACACACACACACACACACACACACACACACACACACACACACGGGCCAGGAGAGAGGCGUAAGGCCCCGUUUCACAGACGUUUGGUGGAGCUGCAACGGUAUCCUUUAGACUUGCCGAAAAAGAGAUUUCGAAGGGCAUCACAAGCAUUCUUCUGAACUUCCAAAACUCUGUGGCCCAAAAGAGAAAGCAAGACAUUGAGAGGUUUGGUAGUAUGCCCAUACUUGCAUGUCUGUGCACCAAGAAGCAAGAAGCCAAAGACAGCUGUUUCUGACUACAAAGACCAUUCUCGCUUUACCAUACCAUGCAACAACUUGGACUAUCAGGAUCCCCUCCAGGAUGCCACAUUACAAUUAGUCUUUACAUCUUCUUGGAUUCCUCUUAGCUGUGAUAGCUUCAUCAGAUUUUCCUUGUUUUUGAUGACCUUGACAAUAUUGACGAGUACUGGUCAGGCAUGGAUGGGUGUUUACAUCAUUUUUUACAACAGUGGAGUUUGCACUAUUGCUUUGAAAAUCCUUGCUUGACAGCAUUCCAGGCACACAUUAGGAACAGACAGUCCACCCACCAGGCACAUUUACUUCUUGUGCCAGAACUCCAUCUGUAUUUCGAAACUGCUGGUAGGCCUCAUCCAGUCAGCUGAGACCUGAAUUAAACAAAAUGCCUGAAUAAGAGGGAAUUUCCUCCUGCGUGACUGCCUUGAGGUGGAACAUCAGUGUUUUUGCUGCCAUCAGACUCAUACUGAAACGCUGGUCUUUCUGGAUCCCAAGCCUCUAGGCCUUUGGACUGGAACUGCACCAUCAGCAUUUCUGUGUCUCCAGCUUGUCAACUGCAGAUCUGGGGACUUGUCAGCCUUCAUGAUGACGUGAAUAAUGAAACAAAUGAUGAUACAUCCACACCACAGAAUCCUACUCAGCAAGAAAAAUAAACUAUUACUGCCUGCACAAAUUGGAUAAACCUCAAGGGAGUUACUCUG
rnacentral:lncRNA from 1 species